rnacentral:rRNA from 1 species
CCCUUCAGAGGGGGACAACAGUUGGAAACGACUGCUAAUACCGCAUACGAUCUAAUCUUGGCAUCGAGGAUAGAUGAAAGGUGGCCUCUACAUGUAAGCUAUCACUGAAGGAGGGGAUUGCGUCUGAUUAGCUAGUUGGAGGGGUAACGGCCCACCAAGGCGAUGAUCAGUAGCCGGUCUGAGAGGAUGAACGGCCACAUUGGGACUGAGACACGGCCCAG